rnacentral:rRNA from 1 species
UACGUAGGGGGCAAGCGUUGUCCGGAUUUAUUGGGCGUAAAGAGCGUGUAGGCGGCCAGGUAGGUCCGUUGUGAAAACUCGAGGCUCAACCUCGAGACGUCGGUUGAAACCGUACGGCUAGAGUCCGGAAGAGGAGAGUGGAAUUCCCGGUGUAGCGGUGAAAUGCGCAGAUAUCGGGAAGAACACCCGUGGCGAAGGCGGCUCUCUGGGACGGUACUGACGCUGAGACGCGAAAGCGUGGGGAGCGAACAGG